AGGAGAGGACGCGGCCGCUGGGUGCUGCUGCGAGUCCCGGCAGCCGUGGGCAGGGCACCUGAAACCUCCCUGCAUCUGCUGGAGGACGUUUGUGGUGGAAACAGUGACCGCCUCAGCGGCCUCAGUCCCGAGUCGCAAGGUAGAUCUGUGAAUGUUGUCAAAAGAGGGGCACAGGAACUAAAUAUUCCUCUUUUAUGGGACAUACGAAAACAAUAUUUGUGUUCCUCCGGCCUUUUCUGCUGUUGCCUGCACUCUCAGUGCUUCCCAGGGAAGGCAGUGGUCCUCGACCUUUCCCUCUAGACCCCCUGGGAUGGCGACCUCAUGACCGCCAAUCCUUGGCCAACGUCUGCAUCCUUGGGAUGCUGAAGCCAUUUGAGAAGAAAUGUGAUGGACUCGAAGGGCUUGUGAUGUGGCUAAACAUCUAUUCUGAAACACUUCCCAUCAGUUUGACAUCGAGUGAAACAAAUCAACUUCCAGUCUGUUAAAGCAUCCCCUCAAGCUCUCUCUGCAGUCCAACAUGGUAACUUGUGAAAAAUAGUGGUAUUACUUAYGUCAAGAAGAGAAAAGGGGAAAGAAGACCAUUGAUCCAAAGGUACCRAAGGACAUCUAACUGACUUACUAGAUGGAGUUACUGCUUUGUAGUUUCAAAUGUCUGCUGUGGGGAGUCAACAGUCAGCUGCAAAAAUGCAUCUUCCCCUUCCCCUUCCCAUUUUAGAGUUUUCCCCUCCACAGCCCAUCCCUAUGUUACAGUUGCAAAAUCAAGUACGUAAGGAAACAGUCCUAGUUCUGGUAUCCCUCUCUGCUCAGUCUUAAUUCAUUACUAUACACACUUAAUUCAUUACUAUACACACAUGCCCUUCUCCAUGUUUAUUGGCCUGCUCAUCUCUUCCAUUCUCUUAUAUUCCUCUCUCAGCUUCUGCCUGCCUGUCCUACUGUCCAACUCUUUUUCUAGCCUCCUUUUCCCUAAUUCCUUCCAUUUAAAUUCCAGCCCUACCAUUUGCCUGCUCUGCAUCUGGGGUYGGGGCAGUGAGAGAAACAUUUAUUUGUGAGCAGUAGAUACUGACACUUAGAGAAAAAUGCUGCAGAUAUCACAAGGACAGCCUUUGUUAGAAACCUUGCUGUCUGAAACAUCAGAUGUUCAUGUAUUUUAUAGAUUAGGUCCUGUGAUCGUCCUGAGAUGUCCUGCUGUUGUCGUGUGAAUAAGUGAUGUCUCUUUGAACUAUAUUUUUCCGUUGUGUGUAACACUUGCCUCUAGGAAAAGGGGCUGCCUAUCACCUCACUACUUGUAAUUUCAGAAGCUGAACUUUCAACAUUAAUUCCAAUCUGGAAAUGAUUUGACUCUCCCUGUACCUGUUUGGCUAGAAUCUGACUGUACACCARUCCCAAUAGCCAUUCAUAAUUCUCUAUAGCAAUGAGGUCUGGUAACUAAACAAAAUAGCUUCCUUCCUGGUUCCUUUCUCCCCUCAUUUUGUAAGGAACAUUGAUUUAAUCAGUCUGAU
rnacentral:lncRNA from 1 species